rnacentral:rRNA from 1 species
CAUAUCAAUAAGCGGAGGAAAAGAAACUAAACAAGGAUUCCCCUAGUAACUGCGAGUGAAGCGGGAAAAGCUCAAAUUUAAAAUCUGGCAGUCUUUGGCUGUCCGAGUUGUAAUCUAGAGAAGUGUUAUCCGCGCUGGACCGUGUACAAGUCUCCUGGAAUGGAGCGUCAUAGAGGGUGAGAAUCCCGUCUUUGACACGGACUGCCAGGGCUUUGUGAUGCGCUCUCAAAGAGUCGAGUUGUUUGGGAAUGCAGCUCAAAAUGGGUGGUAAAUUCCAUCUAAAGCUAAAUAUUGGCGAGAGACCGAUAGCGAACAAGUACCGUGAGGGAAAGAUGAAAAGAACUUUGGAAAGAGAGUUAAACAGUACGUGAAAUUGCUGAAAGGGAAACGCUUGAAGUCAGUCGCGUUGUCCAGGGAUCAACCUUGCUUUUGCUUGGUGUACUUUCUGGUUGACGGGUCAGCAUCAAUUUUGACUAUUGGAAAAAUUUCAAGGGAAUGUGGCAUCUUCGGGUGUGUUAUAGCCCUUUUUUGUAUACAAUGGUUAGGAUUGAGGAACUCAGCACGCCGCAAGGCCGGGUUUUUAACCACGUACGUGCUUAGGAUGCUGGCAUAAUGGCUUUAAUCGACCCGUCUUGAAACACGGACCAAGGAGUCUAACAUACCUGCGAGUGUUUGGGUGGAAAACCCGAGCGCGCAAUGAAAGUGAAAGUUGAGAUCCCUGUCAUGGGGAGCAUCGACGCCCGGACCAGACCUUUUGUGACGGCUCCGCGGUAGAGCAUGUAUGUUGGGACCCGAAAGAUGGUGAACUAUGCCUGAAUAGGGUGAAGCCAGAGGAAACUCUGGUGGAGGCUCGUAGCGAUUCUGACGUGCAAAUCGAUCGUCAAAUUUGGGUAUAGGGGCGAAAGACUAAUCGAACCAUCUAGUAGCUGG